rnacentral:rRNA from 1 species
AGAUUGAACGCUGGCGGCAUGCCUAACACAUGCAAGUCGAACGGCAGCGCGGGUAGCAAUACCUGGCGGCGAGUGGCGGACGGGUGAGGAAUACAUAGGAAUCUACCCUGUCGUGGGGGAUAACGUAGGGAAACUUACGCUAAUACCGCAUACGACCGAGAGGUGAAAGCGGCGGACCGCAAGGCGUCGCGCGGCUGGAUGAGCCUAUGUCCGAUUAGCUAGUUGGCGGGGUAAGAGCCCACCAAGGCGACGAUCGGUAGCUGGUCUGAGAGGAUGAUCAGCCACACUGGGACUGAGACACGGCCCAGACUCCUACGGGAGGCAGCAGUGGGGAAUAUUGGACAAUGGGCGCAAGCCUGAUCCAGCAAUGCCGCGUGUGUGAAGAAGGCCUUGGUUGUAAGCAGUUUGACGGAAGAAAGCGUUGGUUAAUACCGAUGGUGAUGACGUACCGUAAGAAUAAGCACCGCUAACUCGUGCCAGCAGCCGUA